UACGUAGGGACCAGCGUUGUUCGGAUUUACUGGGUCGUAAGGGCGCGUGAGGCGGCAAUUCAAGUCAUCUGUGUAAAUCUCCGGGACUUAACUCGGAACGGUCAGAUGAUUACUGCUUUGCUUAGAGUGCGGAAGGGGCAAUCGGAAUUCUUGGUGUAGCGGUGAAAUGACGUAGUAUAUCAAGAGGAACACCUGAGGUGAAGACGGGUUGCUGGGCCGACACUGACGCUUGAGUGCGCGAAAGCCAGGGGAGGCAAACGGG
rnacentral:rRNA from 1 species